UUACCAAUUUUUUGCCACCAUGCACAAGUCUAAUAGACAGGACAGGUCCUGAUCCUAUGUUCUAAAGAUAUUUGAUAGAAGUUGUGGAAGCUCUCUAUCUGGAUAGGUUUUCUCUACAUUUUGAUUAUGAAAGAACAAUGCUUGGUGGACAGGGAGCCAAGAUGAUUGCACAAGAUCCAGGAUAGCAAUAUAUCCUAACGUGCCGGUGAUCACCAUGGCGCACUCGAUUUCUAUCUUGAUAAGAAAAUGGAAUGAGAAAG